rnacentral:rRNA from 1 species
GAUCCGGAAACGGGUGCUAAUACCGCAUAGUUUCUUGAUCGCAUGAUCGGGAAAGGAAAGACGGCCUUUGUGCUGUCGCUUAUGGAUGGACCCGCGGCGUAUUAGUAGUUGGUGAGGUAACGGCUCACCAAGACGAUGAUACGUAGCCGACCUGAGAGGGUGAUCGGCCACAUUGGGACUGAGACACGGCCCAAACUCCUACGGGAGGCAGCAGUAGGGAAUCUUCCGCAAUGGACGAAAGUCUGACGGAGCAACGCCGCGUGAGUGAAAAGAAGGUUUUUCGGAUCGUAAAACUCUGUUGUCAGAGAAGAACAAGUUGGAGAGUAACUGCUCCAGCCUUGACGGUAUCUGACCAGAAAGCCACCCCGGCUAACUACGUGCCAGCCGCCGC